rnacentral:rRNA from 1 species
UACGGGGGGGGCAAGCGUUGUUCGGAAUUACUGGGCGUAAAGGGCUCGUCGGCGGCCAACUAAGUCAGACGUGAAAUCCCCAGGCUCAACCUGGGAACUGCGUCUGAUACUGGAUGGCUUGAAUUCGGGAGAGGGAUGCAGAAUUCCAGGUGUAGCGGUGAAAUGCGUAGAUAUCUGGAGGAAUACCGGUGGCGAAGGCGGCAUCCUGGACCGACAUUGACGCUGAUGAGCGAAAGCUAGGGGAGCAAACGGG